rnacentral:rRNA from 1 species
AGAGUUUGAUCCUGGCUCAGGAUGAACGCUAGCUACAGGCUUAACACAUGCAAGUCGAGGGGAAACGAUAUUGGAAGCUCGCUUCCGAUAGGCGUCGACCGGCGCACGGGUGAGUAACGCGUAUCCAACCUGCCCACCACUUGGGGAUAACCUUGCGAAAGUAAGACUAAUACCCAAUGAUAUCUCUAGAAGACAUCUGAAAGAGAUUAAAGAUUUAUCGGUGAUGGAUGGGGAUGCGUCUGAUUAGCUUGUUGGCGGGGUAACGGCCCACCAAGGCAACGAUCAGUAGGGGUUCUGAGAGGAAGGUCCCCCACAUUGGAACUGAGACACGGUCCAAACUCCUACGGGAGGCAGCAAUGAGGAAUAUUGGUCAAUGGACGAGAGUCUGAACCAGCCAAGUAGCGUGCAGGAAGACGGCCCUAUGGGUUGUAAACUGCUUUUAUAAGGGAAUAAAGUGAGAGUCGUGACUCUUUUUGCAUGUACCUUAUGAAUAAGGACCGGCUAAUUCCGUGCCAGCAGCCGCGGUAAUACGGAAGGUCCGGGCGUUAUCCGGAUUUAUUGGGUUUAAAGGGAGCGUAGGCCGGAGAUUAAGCGUGUUGUGAAAUGUAGACGCUCAACGUCUGCACUGCAGCGCGAACUGGUUUCCUUGAGUACGCACAAAGUGGGCGGAAUUCGUGGUGUAGCGGUGAAAUGCUUAGAUAUCACGAAGAACUCCGAUUGCGAAGGCAGCUUACUGGAGCGCAACUGACGCUGAAGCUCGAAAGUGCGGGUAUCGAACAGGAUUAGAUACCCUGGUAGUCCGCACGGUAAACGAUGGAUGCCCGCUGUUGGUCUGAAUAGGUCAGCGGCCAAGCGAAAGCAUUAAGCAUCCCACCUGGGGAGUACGCCGGCAACGGUGAAACUCAAAGGAAUUGACGGGGGCCCGCACAAGCAGCGGAGCAUGUGGUUUAAUUCGAAGCAACGCGAAGAACCUUACCUAGACUUGACAUCUCCUGCAUUACCUUUAAUCGGGGAAGUUCCUUCGGGGACAGGAAGACAGGUGGUGCAUGGUUGUCGUCAGCUCGUGUCGUGAGAUGUUGGGUUAAGUCCCGCAACGAGCGCAACCCUUAUUGUUAGUUGCUACCAUUUAGUUGAGCACUCUAGCGAGACUGCCCGGGUUAACCGGGAGGAAGGUGGGGAUGACGUCAAAUCACCAUGCCCCUUAUGUCUAGGGCUACACACGUGCUACAAUGGCAAGUACAAAGAGACGCAAUACCGCGAGGUGGAGCAAAACUCAAAAACUUGUCUCAGUUCGGAUUGUAGGCUGAAACUCGCCUACAUGAAGCUGGAGUUGCUAGUAAUCGCGAAUCAGCAUGUCGCGGUGAAUACGUUCCCGGGCCUUGUACACACCGCCCGUCACACCAUGAGAGUUGGCAAUACCCAAAGUGCGUGAUCUAACUCGCAAGAGAGGAAGCGCCCUAGGGUAGGGUCAGCGAUUGGGGUGAAGUCGUAACAAGGUA